CUGAGAGCAACAAUAAACCGCAAUCUGGUGGCUCCAGGUUACAGCCAGAGAAAGCCCAACCUGGAAAUGCAGGCCUGGGUUAGCUGUGGGGCUGAUCCCAGAGAGUGUCCAGCGGUGAGGCCAGGAGGACACAACCUGAAGAACAUGGUCAGUGACCUGGAAAUUGAGAAGACAACACAGAAGUGAUGAGAAGCCAGGCAGCCUGAAGGUGUCCGAAGACGCGGGGGUGUCUUCGAGGUCAGCUGAGAGGGAUGGAAAGCAGCACUUGUGCCCUCGGUUGAGGGGACGAGUGGGCGGAAGAGGCCUCGGGAGGGACAAGACAACAGCUUCACCGGAGCCAAGCAGGGGCCAGGAAGAAAGGGCGCAGCAGGGCCGCAGCGGAGCUCAGAACAGACCUGGAGCACGGAGGACCGGGACUCGAGGGCCCACCCCGGUGAGAAGAGGCACGUCUUGUCGGUGGAGUGGACGCAUUGUGCUCUGCUGUCCAGGAGGGGACAUGGGGACCCACUCCCUCCAGAAGCUAAUGGAAGAGCUAGAGUAUCACCCUCUGCAGCCCCCAGGAAGGAGUGGACCCACCACUGACCAUCCCGCCAGUUAUCCAGCGGGCAAUGCACUGCCUCAGCCCAGGUCCACCUUCCAGUACCUGCUCUGAGAUGGAGACACGGUGUCCAGCUUUGUCAGCAGAGGGUGCCAGGGACGUUGCAGGAAGAUUGGGACUUUGGUUCUGUACUGGACAUGCGGCCUGAGAGCGUCCAGCGAAGCUCCACCCCGCCGUACAUCCAGAAGGCACAGUUGCUCUGCAACCCCAGGCCCAGCCUGAACCAGAGCCCAGAGUGCCUCAGCCCUGCCUCAUGGACACUGCACUGCGGCCUCCCUCACAGUGCAUCCCCACCUGCUCUGGCCUCUGCUUCCAGCACCAGCUGGCUCUCCUGCACCAGGACUUGGCUUCCCCCGGCCACUCCUGUGCACAUGUAGGAUUCCCCCCAUAUUGUCAGGCAAUUGUAAAAUUUUUAAAAAAGGUAAAACAUGCAUUGCCAAAACCCCAAUAAUUCAGUUUCUAAAUAUCCAGUUUAGAGAAAUUAUCCAGUAGGUGAGCAAAAUGGUAGUUUUCUGCAGUGUUUUUUUGCAAGAGCAAAACCCCUAGAAGCAAACUACAUGUCCAUCAGGGAGAAAGUGGUUAACAAAAAGAAGCAAACAAAACUUGAUGUAUCUGCUGGGCAGCAGUUAAAGCCCAUGGGUCAGCGCAGCAAAGAACUCCAACACACAUUAUUCAGUGGAGCAAGCAGAGUCAUGUGUUUCAUUUGAUCCCAUUUCCAAAAAAAAAAA